rnacentral:misc_RNA from 1 species
GAUGAAGAACGCAGCGAAAUGCGAUAAGUAAUGUGAAUUGCAGAAUUCAGUGAAUCAUCGAAUCUUUGAACGCACAUUGCGCCCCCUGGUAUUCCGGGGGGCAUGCCUGUCCGAGCGUCAUUACAACCCUCAAGCUCAGCUUGGUAUUGGGCCCCGCCGCUCCGGCGGGCCCUAAAGUCAGUGGCGGUGCCGUCCGGCUCCGAGCGUAGUAAUUCUUCUCGCUCUGGAGGUCCGGUCGUGUGCUCGCCAGCAACCCCCAAUUUUUUUCAGGUUGACCUCGGAUCAGGUAGGGAUACCCGCUGAACUUAAGCAUAUCAAUAGCGGAGGA